rnacentral:sRNA from 1 species
GCCGCGCCUGGAUCGGCCAAUCGAAAACCGGUCACCUUCACCCGGCUGACGUGGCAUUCCUAUUCGAGG